rnacentral:lncRNA from 1 species
CACGGGCCUGUCUCUUUGUUGACGCUGGAGAAAUUGCGGUAAUUUUUGAGACGGCGCUCCUCAUUGGCUACUGUGGACCUGCAAUAUUCUGUUCACUGUACGAGCGCCUAAGAUUGGCUACGUUGGAUCUGCAAUGCGUCAAGCAAUGGCGCCUAAUGUUACCUCAGUGGUUUUGGAAAAUGGUGUAACCGGACAGUCUACAUUGUAACACAGAGUAUUUUUGCAAUACUGUAAUCAUUGCUUACGACAAGACGUUUCUUUCAGUCUUUGUAGUUUCUCAAAAUGUUUCCUCCUCACCUGGCAAGGGCUCGAUUUGAGUUUUUCGGGAGGAGUGGUGGUGAUUGGCGAUUGGUCACCGCAAACAUACACGGAACAUGUAGUCGCGGAAUUUUAAAUGGCGGGUUUCGAUGAAGGAAUAUAGAAUUACAAUAUUAGAAAGCUUGUGCUGAUUCCAAGUCUAUUUUGUAAAUUAGACCAGUACUGGAUACAAAAAUCAAGAUUUACCAAUUUACUAUGGCUAAAUAAACUGUUUAAUAGUAAUGAUGAUUGAUUUUAGACAAUUAUCUCGCAGCCUGCAACAAUCAAUGGACUGGCAAACCAUUGAAUUAACGAUGAAUCCCAACAACAUUCACGCUUUAAUCAGUUUAUGGAAGUGACUGAUUGAUUCAUGCUCAAAGAUGAAUAGGCUAAACUAAAUCAUAAAAUGUGCCAUCAAGAUAACAUGAUUUAGCCUAAAAUUAUAGCUACUACCCCUCCAACAAACCACAGUCGCUUCCGAGAUGACGUCAUACUUAUCCGACUGUUUACAUGCAGAGGAGAACAACACAUGGCUCUAUUUCCAGCUUUUGUACGAUUAUCAAAUGCAAAACCUGAGAAUGCACCUAAAGUGAGGAGGUGCAGUGUCAGCUGGAGGGGUCUUUUGUGUGGCUGGAUGACCUCUAGUCCCCCACCGAUUGGCCCUUCUGCGUGGACAGAAGAGCAGACCUUUCCAACUUGGAGUACAAAUCGCUCUACAGAGAAGACAUCGCUCUACAGAGAAGACAUCGCUAGGGAUUCUACAUGUUACUGCAAUGAUUAUAAUGUCUUUCGAGGUACAAGAGGAAAAGCCGUUCUUCUCUGGGUUUGGACCCGCGAUCUCAGGCCAUGAGCUGCUCUGAGUCUGGCCCAGAGAAGAAGAGAGGGGACAGAGACCCGACCGCUACUUCUCCCUCACCNGUUCUGCCCUGGGCCAGGCCCCCUGGGUCAACCCGCUGGGGGUGUAUGGCUCCUCCACCUCCCUGUGGCUUCAGGGGAAGGCAGAGCAGGGCAAGGCAGAGGAAAAACCCUCUACUCCCAGAGACAAUGCUGCCGCCCUGCUGGCUGAACAGGUGGAGGACUUUAACAGGAGGCUGAGGGAAACCUCCACAGACACACACACCUGGCUGCAGUUUGUCCACUUCCAGCUUCGGUAUUCAACGUUAAAACCCCACAAUUACACACCACACCAAUCAGUGUCAUCACAUCACAUGAGAUUUCACUAGGAUUUCAA